rnacentral:misc_RNA from 1 species
UACGGAGGUGACAAGCGUUGUCCGGAAUUAUUGGGCGUAAAGCGCGCGCAGGCGGUCCUUUAAAUCUGAUGUGAAAGCCCACGGCUCAACCGUGGAGGGGCAUUGGAAACUGGCGGACUUGAGUACAGAAGAGGAAAGUGGAAUUCCACGUGUAGCGGUGAAAUGCGUAGAGAUGUGGAGGAACACCAGUGGCGAAGGCGACUUUUAGGUCUGUAACUGACGCUGAGGCGCGAAAGCGUGGGGAGCAAACAGG